GGUCCCGUAGCUCAGUUGGAUAGAGCACCUGAUUCCUAAUCAGGGGGUCACAGGUUCGAAUCCUGUCGGGGUCACCA
rnacentral:tRNA from 1 species